GAGGACGACGAGUUCGAGGAAUUCGAGCAGGAGGAUUGGGAUAUCAGGCGUGAAGAUCAAUCAGACAUCAAGGUUUGGGAGGAUAACUGGGAUGACGAUAACAUUGAGUCAGAUUUUGCCAAACAUCUCA